CCUCAGCAUGGGUAACGUUCCUCUCAGUCAUUUUAAUGAAUGUUGUGCAGAAUUAUCUUUCGGAAUGGUCGCCUAUAUUUUAAGUCGUCGUAAGGACUAAUGUGGAAAAGUAUGGACAAGUGUGGAAAACAUAAACACGUCUCAAAGUUGUGUGUUCCGUCGACGGAAAUCUAGCCUGAGGGGAAGAGCCUCAUCCCAGACUCUGUUUGCCUUUCUUUUGUGAGUAAAAUUCAUCAUAAGUCAUACAUAAAUACAUAAACUUUGACCCCUCUAAACAUCUGGGCCACGUGCCUAGAGCAGAUAGGUGAUUUAUUACUGCCAGUUUGAAGGAACAUGAUUUGAAUGCAGAAGCUUGACUUUGGGCCUUAUGUGUUGGUGUUUGUGCUGUUCUCCUGUUUAAAAUCUGCAGUAGCAGGUUGUAACAAACCUCAAUAAUACACUACUAAAGAUUGUUUAUCUUAAGGGGUUUGUUGCAAGGGCACCUGAUCUUACUCCAAAUUCACUGUCACAGAUUUGGACAAUGCUGUCAGAGAUGACAGAAUUGUGAAAUAUUAUAUUUUUAAAAAUCUGCACAGAUUUAAUGGGUAAUAUUUAAAGCCCUUUAUCCCACACUGCAUUUGCAUAUUACACUCCAUUGCUUGCAAUGAUGGCUUGUGUUGUGAAAUGUAGGUCAUAGCGCAACCUUUGCCGUUUUCGCCUCUGAGCUUUUUGCAGAGCAUUGCCACUAAAUAUAAUCUCAUGGUUUGGAAGAGAUGCAUCCAUGCCUUUCGUAAAUCAUUAUAUGCAUAUUAGGCCCUGUGUUUGUGUAUUUUUGUUUAAUGUAAUGAAUAUUCGAUGGUUUGAUUAAGUGUUUGCCAUGUAUAAAGGGAUUAGCUGGUUUCAUGAUAUCGACGUGAGUCAAAUAGGGGUUGGCAAGUGUAGUGCAUUAUUUUAUUGUGCACAUAUGAUGUCUAAUAUGAAACCACAGUUGUAGUGACCGUACUAAACAUGACACUGUCCCGUCGAUCGGUCGCUCAGGUGAGUGCUGCUGUUGGCUUCUCUCUUGGCAUUCACCGCGUGCCUUAAUUGUAUUGAAAUUAAAUCAAGGUCCACUGUGAACACAAAGAGCAAAAACCCAAGUUCCUGAACGUCAUCCAACUUUGUCUUUUCCUACAAACUCUCUCCGUUCCUCUUCAUCUUUGCAGUCUGGUCUGUUCUCACGGCUAACGGUUCAAUCAUGCACUUCAGCUUCCCUGCCGGUUCACUCACUCGUCUGUAUUUGGUCCCUAUGCACUGUGCACAUCCUGUUCUUGUCCUUCAGUACAAUACCACAUUUCUGGGCUCAUCUAAAAUCCCUCUCUUCUCACCUGUCCUCCUCCUCCUCUUGCAUCUGAUGUGGGCUUCGGUGGUGUUAGUGCAGUCCAAACAAGAAGUCCUAAUCUUGCACACACACACUCAUGGACACGUACAAACACACUAUCGCACAUCUUUCCGAGGGUUCUCCCUGUGCGUGCGGGUUUUAAAUUGCAUAAUUCCCCGUCUUCCAUCGGCCUAGAUGUGUGGUAAGAACAAAACAUACAUGAUAGUGCAACACAGUGUUUCUCAUGCUCAUAUUUUACACACAUUCAGAAACACAUUUACAAAAACAUUCAGACAUUCACAAUUCUAGCUAUAUCCUGUACCGAAUGCAUGUCCUGAGAAAUUACAAGACAGCGAGAGAGAGGAGACCGAGAGAUAAAGAGGAUCUACCUUUUGUUGUACCCAUUCUCCUAGAAGCCCUGGCACCUGCCUUCUGUUUCAUUCCAGCAGACCUUUUCCCUCUCUCGGUCAAACAAAGAGGACCAGCAAAGCUGUGUGUGAGGGAUGUGCGAAGAUGCAAAGCUAUGCACUGCUCUCCCCCUCGUCUAUUCAGCACGUCCACCGCCAUGAUGAGACGGCUGCCAGCAUCACAAUGUAAAGCUAGCGCUUCCCUAUGACAGUCUGUUCUCUCCCUCUCUCCCCCCACCUCUCUCUCUGUCUUUUUAUUUCGCUCACUCUCUCUCAGCAUACGCACACCUAUACGGCAAGUUAAAAAAAAGUACGGUUAAAAUCACAUCACAUAAAAUGAGUUGAAGCUGACGAUGACAGUUGAAAUAAAUGCAUACGUUACAGAGAAGAUGUACAUGUAUUUCGGAAAAUAAUAAUAUUCCAAAACACAUCAGUUACAGCCACAAGCAUCAGAUCACAUACAACAAUUACCCAGAAGCACGGUCUAUUUCUUCAAAACUACUGACAAUAAGCAGCUAAUUAUCUUUAGCUUCAUUCUUUUUCCUCGCAUUCUCGCUCUAGCGGAGAAAACAGAAAUGUAUAUCCUGGUUUUUCCCAUUCUCUUAGUUCCGUCAGUUCUUGCUAUUCUCCAUCCAAGGGUGAACAGGGUGUCCUGCUGAAGCUCUCUGCCCCAGCUGAGGCUCCUUUUCCUGGGGGCUGGAGAGCAGUAUUGCAAGGGGAGAUGUUCUGGGGGUGGGGUGGAGAAGGUUUAGGGGAGAGGUAGGCAGGCAGGUAGGAAGGUUUUCACGCAUGCAGGAAGGGAAAAUCAGGUGCUGGGAUGUUGCAGCCGCUUAAAAACCAAAACCAAAAAAAAGAGGAGUAUUCUCCCCCGUGAGAAAAUCAGCCUGAGAAAAUCCAUUUGUGCACGCCACAAAAAAUGUUUUUUUUUUUUUUUUUUACAAAAAGCUGAGAAUGCGCA